CCGAUCUUGCACUUAUGAUCCAACUUGUCAUGAUGAGUUAUCCUCUUUCCUGUGGUCAUAUUACGUGUGUGAAUUCUGUGCAUGUUUUUGCAUCUCUUUCAUGAGUGAGAUAAAUUUCCUUUCCUCUGCUCCUCUUCAGAGGAUCCAGCAUGACGAACGAACCGGCCUUGUUAAAAUCUGUCCAGACACCUCACUUGCUUUUUGUUUAUUCACUCAGUGUAUUUGUCUGAGAUGGACUUUUUUCCCCACUGAAAUAUUUGGUUCCAUUGCCUGGUGAAGCCAUCUGCACUUGGAAAUUUUUGUGGAAUUUCCCCCUCCCUUCUCAUGAGCUAACUUUAAAUUGCGGAUUUAAUUUUCUGAUCAUGGGGCUUCUGUGUUCAUGGCAAGCAACGCUCUCAAAGGAUCGCCAGGUCAAGCUAAUACACAAGCCAUGGAUUUUGGUUUCUUGCUUUUCUUCUUCAAAUCUGUUGCUUUCCCCCUUAUUCUUGUGUCUUGUGUUGCUUUAAAAAUUAUUUAGGAUUUCGCAAAUAUAAAAUAAUUCAAUAGUUUUUCUACACAGAGAAAAUAAAUUGCCUAAAGUAAAACGCAUGAGAACCCAUUUACAAAAUAAACAAAAUAAGGACCUCAGCUUGAAUAACCUCAUUGAACUAUGCAAGUGAACUGUGGAAAAUAUCAUAAAACGUGGCUUUACUGGAAUUUUUAAAAUAAUACUCAAGUGUCAUGCAAUGAUUUAGUUCAGAAAGAGCAAUUAUUUUUAAGAGGACAAUUCUCUCAAAUUAUAUGUAUUUUAAAAAGAAGAACUUGUCCUGACAAGGCAAAGUAAAACAAGAAAACAAGGGGAAAAAAACCCUAAAAUAAUAUCGUUCUAAAACAUGCAUAAAUAAAUUGAAUACAAAUUAUUUUAAUAUGUACAAUCUCAUCAUUGUUGUUCUGUAGUGACUCACCUUCUGUAUAAAACUUAUCUAAAGCAGAUUCUGCAUUGUAUAUAUAAAAGGAAACAGCACAAAACAGGACAGGACUUGAAUUAUUUAAUAAAUGUGACUAGAAUAUUAUUUUUAUGAAAAAAUAUGUACUAACACUAUUCAUCAUAUAAUUCUAGGUGGGUUAGAGAGAUAAAGGAAAAAUCAAACCAUAAAAAGAGAAGGAAAUGUUGAUUAAUAUUUAUCUGAUUUCUAGAUGUGGAGAGCCUGCUGAGCUUAAAUAAAUGAAACCUGAUUUCAACCAUAGAUUAUUUCCCGUGACUGUCAGCUGCUCCGUAAAAACCCAGCUUGGAAACAGGGUGGCGGUUGGGGAUCCCACCAGGAAGGAAAGGCUUGAGCAGCUCAGUUAUUUCCAUGUGAGGACACAGCCCUGUCUCCUUUGUGACUUAAAAAAAAAAAAAGUAAAAUAAAACUUCCAUUAGGUACUAUUUUAGCAAAGAUUGGUUUUAAAAGAUACACAAUUCGGUGAAAAUAAGAUUUUAGUAUAAAUUUUCCUAAAUAAAUAUUGGCAAAUAUAAUGGUGAAAUCCUGUCAAGGGUUUCAAAACUGGCCAGGCGCAAUGGCUCACGCCUGUAAUCCUAGCACUUUGGGUGGCUGAGGUAGGUGGAUACCUGAGGUCAGGAGUUCGAGACCAGCUUGGCCAACAUGGUGAAACCCUGUCUCUACUAAAAAUACAAAAAUUAGCUGGGCAUGGUGGCACGUGCCUGUAGUCCCAGCUACUCAGGAGGCUGAGGCAGGAGAAUCACUUGAACCCAGGAGGCGGAGGUUUGAAUGAGCUGAGAUCACGCCACUGCACUCCAGCUUGGGUGACACAGCAACAUUCUGUCUCAAAAAGAAAAAAAAAAAAAAAGAGUUUCAAAACUCAAUCGGCUGCUUUGUGGGAUUUAGAGAGGUCUUCCUGGAUCUAAUAAACUACUUGAGCUAAAUAUGCUCAUCUUGGGGCAGGAUGUUCUCCUUCUGUAAGUCUCUAGAGGCAGUAUAUAGAAUCCUUCAAUAUUUCUGAAAGUAACAGAUGAGAGGUCAAAUACACAGCAACUUCCUUUGCACUGAAGUUGCCACGGUAACUUUCUACCAUGGGAAAUUUGAGAAAGAUUAUUUUAUUUGAUGUCUUACUGUACAUAAUAAGCAAAUACCAAAACAAUGGUAUUUAAAUAUCUUUUCUUUGGAGGGAUAACAUAAAGAAUAAAUGCCUCUUUUUGUUGAAUUUCAUAAAACAAUGUCUACCACACUGGAUAUGGGUAGAGAAAUGAAAAAUGAAGAAAGAACCCACAGAACCUGAGCCAUGGAACUAGAAGAGGUGGUACCCUCCUGUCCCAUGCUAGAAUUUCGGCGCAAGGGUCCCUAAACCACACCCCUGUAUGUGAGUACCAAGGGUGAUCCUGAACAGUGUGAGCUGCUCGUUUAAUUCAGCCCUCAUGACACCUUGUAUCUCAACCUCUCCCUUUUCAGAUGAAGAAGAGAGGCUGAGAGUUUGUCUUACCUUUGUUGCCAAGCGGGCUCCUGACUCUCAGAGCUCAUAGAUGAGCCCACACCUGUCGAAUUCCAUAGCCCCAGCCCUGCCCCUCACCGCACAGCCAUCCACUGCAUGCUUUUCCUCCUAGGCUAGACAGGUGGGAACCACUGCCCGGACAGUCAACUGUUCCCCCUCCUGCUUUCCAGACAGUGCCCAGCCUUGGUUCGGCCUGCCACUGUCCCCUGUGGACACCAUGCCAGCCUUCAUCUCUUCACCUCUCCUUGAGUUGAUGCAAGACCCUGAGUAGCUUCUCACUCUCUUCAGUCUCCAUAUAACUGUGCCCAUCUACCUCAUCAGCCAGUGCCCAGGUGGCAUGAACUUGGAUGACUUGUGUACGUAUUAUUAAUGACUGGAUUGUCUUACAUCAUCCCUAAAUUAUUCCAAGGAGCUUCUAUUUAUCUUUCCAUUAAGAAAAUGACUGACCUGAUGCCUAUUUAGAGUUAUUUUGUGUACCUAACACAAUGCCAAGCAAACGCUCACUGGGCACGUUUUCAAAGUGGACGUCAUUGAUCUUUGAUGGCUGUGUCUUCUUCUGCCUUCCACCCACACAUGCAGUGCCUCUGACUUCUCAUGGCCUGGUUUGGCCCUGUUCUACCCUACAGAGUUUAUUUCUCCUAAGUCUAAGGGUCCAGGGUCUCCUGAAUUCUUGUACUACUCAAACAUAUCCCUGGGCAGCUUCUGAGUUAAAACCACACUUUUCCCAACCUCCUUGUAGAUAAUCUAAUUUCCUCCUUCCAUAGGUAAUAUCCCUUCUUUUCCCCUAUUCCUUUUUAACUGUCGUCAACUGCAAAGGGUUUUCCGCAUCUUUAUGAUCUACAAGAUCUCACAUUUGUGAUGAGGAAAAGACUCACAUUUUGCAUCAGGUAAUGUUUUUCGAUUAAUGUGCUCCUGCCUCCCUGAAGCUUCUGAGGCUUCAGCCCAUUCCCGAAUUCUAGUCGAAGAAGCAUUUUGGUGCUCCAUUUUGGUUUCAAAGCAAUUCAUUGCCUGCUCUAAAGUGCUAUAAAAUGUUAGUGGCAUGAAUUUGGUAGCAGUGACCCAGGCAGCACGGCGAAGAACGGUGAUGGAAUUUGGGUAACACUAAAUAAGAAAACAAAACUGAUGCAACUUUAAAGUAUUUAACAUAUCCUUGAUACUCAAUGAAUAUUUUAUCUUUUCCUUGGGUGAAAAUAAUGAGGAUAGUUCUGCAUGCUACCUGAGAACAAAUAUGUAACACGUGUCUCCCUAACAAACAUUUCCAUUUAGAACUUCUAAGUAUAUGCACCGUGUGGUGCUAACCAUAACUUUGCAGGAAAUAUUUACUGGUGAUGCUAUUUUUGAAAAAAAUAAUUGAUAUUAUACUGGAAAACUUAAAUAAACCAAUUCAAAUCUUAUGUCAUAUAUUAAUUUCAAGCUCUGACUUUACUUCAUGUAUUCAGUGGUAUACUCUGAAAUCUACAAAUAAAAUGCUUAUGCUGUUUCAUUUUGACCUUCAGAUAUCUUUGCAUAGAAGAUACAGCCAAA
rnacentral:lncRNA from 10 species